UAUAGUAUGAGUUUCUUAUUCUUGAUAUCAUUGUUGCUUGGAGAAUUUAUUUAAAAAUUCUAGCUACCAUCCUCAGUGUUUUAUAUGCCUGAUAAAACUAAAAAUAUUAAUUAUGAUUAUAAAGGCUAUCUACUCUGUAUUGAGUUUGUUCAAAAUGAGUUAGACCCUUGUUGAGAGAUUUAUCAUGCUCCUAAGAUCAAGACAUCUAUUCAGAAAGAUUCACUCUUCCGAAGUAUUAUUGCAUUAGAGGCAUGGGCUAUGCAAAAAUAAAGAUAUUUCAAGGAAAUAAAAAGGAGCAAGUGCUCGAUAACCUCGCAGAAAAAAUGGACAAGUGUCCGGCAGUAGAAUUUGGGGUACCUCGGUAUCCACUCAAAAAAAGAGAAGAAAAAGAAAAUGAUAGCCC
rnacentral:lncRNA from 1 species